rnacentral:rRNA from 1 species
CAAUAGCGUAUAUUAAAGUUGUUGCGGGUAAAAAGCUCGUAGUUGGGUUUCUGCUUGAGAAGACCGGUCUGGUCUAUGACCACGCAUCUGGCACUACUCAAGCAUCUGGAAGGUCGAGGCGUCGCUUCAUUGCGAUGUCUGUGUCCUUCCCUUUUACUUUGAGGAAAUUAGAGUGUUCACGGCAGGCUGUCGCCCUGAAUAUGUUAGCAUGGAAUAAUACCAUAGGACUUCGGUUCUAUUUUGUUGGUUCUGAGAACUGAAGUAAUGAUUAAUAGGGACGAUUGGGGGCACUCGUAUUAUCACGUCAGAGGUGGAAUUCUUGGAUUGUGUUACGACGAACUACUGCGAAAGCAUUUGCCAAGGAUGUUUNCAUUGA